ACUCAAAGGAAUAGACGGGGGCCCGCACAAGCGGUGGAGCAUGUGGUUUAAUUCGACGCAACGCGAAGAACCUUACCUGGGUUGGAACCCUCCAGAAGUUUGCAGAGAUGCAGAUGUGCCCGCAAGGGAAUUGGAUGUCCAGGUGCUGCAUGGCUGUCGUCAGCUCGUGUCGUGAGAUGUUGGGUUAAGUCCCGCAACGAGCGCAACCCUUGUCGUUAGUUGCCAGCGGUUCGGCCGGGCACUCUAGCGAGACUGCCGGUGUUAAACCGGAGGAAGGUGGGGAUGACGUCAAGUCCUCAUGGCCCUUAUGCCCAGGGCUACACACGUGCUACAAUGGUCGGUACAAAGGGUUGCAAUCCCGCGAGGGCUAGCUAAUCCCAAAAAACCGGCCUCAGUUCAGAUUGGAGUCUGCAACUCGACUCCAUGAAGUUGGAAUCGCUAGUAAUCCCUGAUCAGCAGGCAGGGGUGAAUACGUUCCCGGGCCUUGUACACACCGCCCGU
rnacentral:rRNA from 1 species